rnacentral:lncRNA from 1 species
AAAUGAUAUAAGCACAUAUAAGAGAGAGUUAGAACUUAAUUUUAGCAAAAAUGACCUCAAGAAAAGAAGAAUUGAUACCCAGAGAGGACCAUUUGCCAACCAGGGUCAAAAUCAGAUACUAAGGUACAAAAUUGAGCACCUACACCGUUCUGGAGUUCUUUUGUUAAUUGGAGAGUGGAAUUUGAGAGCGAACUUGAGAAGAGAUUUUUGAGAGUUGGUUUCAUGUCAUUUGGAUGAAUAUUGAGGUUUUAAGGGAUUUUCAAAGUUAAUAAUAUACUUGGUGGGUUUAGAUUUGAGAAAUAAAAAUAAAUUUAUAAAUUUGAGGAUUUUGUGAAUUUUUUAACAUAUUUACAAGAAUAUCAACAUUAAGGU